ACCUACCCAUUUUCCUUUUUUUUUUUAAUUUUCUUUAAAUAUGAAUUCAGUGGUUUUGAUGAUGGUGUUAUCUCUCCGGUUUAUAAAAUUUGUAUUUGGAAAUUGACUUUGUUAACAUUUGGUUAAAACUGGGGUGAUCAUACUUUAGCUUACCCUUUGUUUGGAUCUUCCUUAAUUGAGCAAGGAAAUUGAAGAAAAAUUAAAGAGAAGGAAAGAAGAGAAA
rnacentral:misc_RNA from 1 species